ACGCUCGACACCUACGGGGGGCAGCAGUAGGGAAUCUUCCACAAUGGGCGCAAGCCUGAUGGAGCAACACCGCGUGAGUGAAGAAGGGUUUCGGCUCGUAAAGCUCUGUUGUUGGAGAAGAACGUGCGUGAGAGUAACUGUUCACGCAGUGACGGUAUCCAACCAGAAAGUCACGGCUAACUACGUGCCGGCAGCCGCGGUAAUCUGAGCGGGCUGGCAAGGC
rnacentral:rRNA from 1 species